rnacentral:rRNA from 1 species
ACGGGGCGCAGAGGCGCGAAAACUUUACAAUGCUGGCAACAGCGAUAAGGGAACCUCGAGUGCCAGGUUACAAAUCUGGCUGUCGAGAUGCCUAUAAAGCAUUUCAUAGCAAGGGCCGGGCAAGACCGGUGCCAGCCGCCGCGGUAACACCGGCGGCUCGAGUGGUAACCGUUAUUAUUGGGUCUAAAGGGUCUGUAGCCGGCCGGAUAAGUCUCUUGAGAAAUCUGGCAGCUUAACUGUCAGGCUUUCAGGAGAUACUGUCUGGCUCGAGGCCGGGAGAGGUGAGAGGUACUUCAGGGGUAGGGGUGAAAUCUUGUAAUCCUUGAAGGACCACCAGUGGCGAAGGCGUCUCACCAGAACGGACCUGACGGCAAGGGACGAAAGCUAGGGGCACGAACCGGAUUAGAUACCCGGGUAGUCCUAGCCGUAAACGAUACUCGCUAGGUGUCGGCCACGGUGCGACCGUUGUCGGUGCCGUAGGGAAGCCGUGAAGCGAGCCACCUGGGAAGUACGGCCGCAAGGCUGAAACUUAAAGGAAUUGGCGGGGGAGCACCACAACGGGUGGAGCUUGCGGUUUAAUUGGAUUCAACGCCGGAAAUCUUACCGGGACCGACAGCAAUAUGAAGGCCAGGCUGAAGACUUUGCCGGAUUAGCUGAGAGGUGGUGCAUGGCCGUCGUCAGUUCGUACUGUGAAGCAUCCUGUUAAGUCAGGCAACGAGCGAGACCCACGCCCACAGUUGCCAGCGUACUCUCCGGAGUGACGGGUACACUGUGGGGACCGCCGCUGCUAAAGCGGAGGAAGGAAUGGGCAACGGUAGGUCAGUAUGCCCCGAAUAUCCCGGGCUACACGCGAGCUACAAUGGUUGGUACAAUGGGUAUCUACCCCGAAAGGGGACGGAAAUCUCCUAAAACCAAUCUUAGUUCGGAUUGAGGGCUGCAACUCGCCCUCAUGAAGCUGGAAUCCGUAGUAAUCGCGUUUCAACAGAACGCGGUGAAUACGUCCCUGCUCCUUGUACACACCGCCCGUCA